rnacentral:rRNA from 1 species
UACAGAGGUCUCAAGCGUUGUUCGGAUUCAUUGGGCGUAAAGGGUGCGUAGGUGGCGCGCUAAGUCAGGUGUGAAAUUUCGGAGCUUAACUCCGAAACUGCAUUCGAUACUGCGGUGCUUGAGGACUGGAGAGGAGACUGGAAUUUACGGUGUAGCAGUGAAAUGCGUAGAGAUCGUAAGGAAGACCAGUGGCGAAGGCGGGUCUCUGGACAGUUCCUGACACUGAGGCACGAAGGCCAGGGGAGCAAACGGG